rnacentral:lncRNA from 1 species
AUGUUUUGAGCUGCCCUCUGGAAAGACCCUCGUGGUGAGGAACUGGUGGCUCUGGCCAACAUCCAGCGAGGACCUGAGAUCUGCCAGCUGCCACAUGAGUGAGCUGGGAAGUGGAUCUUCUCCUAGCCUUGAGAUAACUGCAAUUCUGGUCAAUUUGAUCAUUGCUCUGCAGGACACCCAGAGGUGUCAGCUGAGUCACAAAUGGAUUUCUGACCCACAGAAACUGAGUGAAAUAAUCACUACAGGUAAGCAAUGAUAUGAAUGGUGAAUGCUGACGCUGUGGGAUUGCUGGGUGUCCUGAGGAAGACCACGUGGAAAGGGAACUCAGAGCUAAUACCUACAAAUAAAUACAUCAAACUGCCAUGAUUAACACAAA